CGUGAGCACGGAGGGGAGUGCAGUGGCCGGCCAUUUUUUCCCCUCCCUUCCGGAACUCUCCCCUCCAUUUUUCCCCCUCCCUCUCCCUCUCCCCUCCCCUCCCCUCUGGCAAUCUCCCCUGCCCUCCAGGUGUGCUCACAGAGGGAAGCACGCGCACAUGAGCACGGAGCGGAGCGUGGUGGCCGGCCUAGGGUGCCUGUUCGGCUUGGCCCGGCACUGAUCCGACGUGAUGCCUGCAUUUUUGCCUAGCACGUUGGAUUGCGGCGGAGCCAUCCGUGGACACCUGUGCACACUAAUAUGACUAAAUUCUCGAUACUCCAAGUUAAAAGGCUAAACCUGGGCUAUUCUGCCUUUUAUCGUGGUGUUUGGGGGAAGUAGGCGUUGUUAUAGUGCAUGGGUGGUGCAGUUCAGUCCUUGAACAAUGCCGAUGUUGCAAAGCCUCCAGACAUCUCAGGAAGCAGAGCUCUUGUCAGUCCCUUCUGGAUGAAUGACUAUACCAGGGGUGCCCAAAAGGAGGUAUGAGACCAUCCAGAUACUACAGACCCCCAUGAGGACACUGAGGAAGGAUAGCACCUCCCUUUCUGCCACUGAAACAUCGGUAAAAGCACCACUGCUAACCAGAGCGCACCCCAGCAGAACUAUAUUUAUUCCCAGCAGCCCAGAGAGGAGGCGGCCUCCUUUCUUCCAUAUCUCCACUGGCUUGGCUGAAACUGCAGACAGCUCUCCUAAGCUAAUCUUCUCAAAGAUGGGAUCUGGUGGAGAGACUUUAACAGCUGUAGAGGUUUCAGCAGGCGAGAGAUCUUCCAUGUUCAACCACUGCAGAAAGAUUUGAUUCCAAGAAAUUGUCAGUGAGCAAAACAAUAACCAGUUUACUAUUUUAUAUUUCUGCUCUUAUUCAACUGAGAAUGUAACCUCAUGUGUGCCUAGCAUUUUCUAUUUUUUAGGGUUUAUUGUGGUUAACCUCUCAUAUCCCUACUCUGUGUGCACUCCUUUCUUAACAGUGGAAUGAAGGGUAAAAUGGCUAUUUCAUGGUGUGCAAAUGUAAGAUCAUGUUUGGGAACGUGUACACAAUUCACUCAUCAUUUGGUAUUUGAAGGGUCACAUGACCUAAGACCCAACAUUUAAUAUUAUUUGCUGUAUGAUCAUUUUAUAGUUGCACAAUGCAAGAUCUUUAUGUCUACAUCAAUGGCUUGAUAUGAAUUUUUGCACUAUGAAACCACAACAACAAAACUAUGAUCAUGGACACUUCCCACCUGUGGGUGACAGUAGCUAUAGCAUCUUCUGGACUUUGUAGAGGAAGGUGUACACACUUCAUUAUUUAUAUUGUUCCACUUGACAAAGGUUAUUCUUGUCCAAAAAUUGCUACAGUAUGUGUGCCAUAAUGAAACAGCAUCAAAUCAUUAAAGAAACAGCCACCUA